GACGAACGCUGGCGGCGUGCUUAACACAUGCAAGUCGAACGGAAAGGCCCUGCUUUUGUGGGGUGCUCGAGUGGCGAACGGGUGAGUAACACGUGAGUAACCUGCCCUUGACUUUGGGAUAACUUCAGGAAACUGGGGCUAAUACCGGAUAGGAGCUCCUGCUGCAUGGUGGGGGUUGGAAAGUUUCGGCGGUUGGGGAUGGACUCGCGGCUUAUCAGCUUGUUGGUGGGGUAGUGGCUUACCAAGGCUUUGACGGGUAGCCGGCCUGAGAGGGUGACCGGCCAAAUGGGGCCGGAGAGCCGCCCCAGGCCCCUCGGGGGGCCAGCGGGGGGGAAGUUGGCCCAAGGGGCGGAGGCCUGAUGCAGCAACCCCGCGGGCGGGAGGGGGCCCUUCGGGUUGAAACCCCCUUUCCCCUGUGACGAAGCGUGAGUGACGGUAAUGGGUAAAGAAGCCCCGGCUAACUACGU
rnacentral:rRNA from 1 species